CAAGAAAAGAAAACUUAGAUGGCUGCUUAAAUAUACUUAAAGCUAAAUACGGUGCCAAUGUAGCUGUUUUGCGAGAGAAAGACAAUAAUUUCAGAGGACUUUGAAACUUUGGACUUGAAACUGUAGACCUUAAAAUGCUCCCCGAAGAAAUAUCACAUGCCGUUCUUGAUGAGGCUGUUGAUAUCCACAUGAUAAGAAGUUUUUGCACCGAGAAAGCCUUUGAAAAAAUAACCAAUCUAGUUGAGCAGAAACGACUUCAACAAAGUUGGUUUUGUUCUGUGUGCAGUGAAGACACGCAGAAAAAUCAUAUGUCACUUUGUUGCAGUAGAUGCCUUUUAUGGAGACAUAUCCGUUGUGCAGGAUUGACUAAGCGACCUAAAUCAAAACUGUAGUUUUGCAGAGAAUGCUAUCUGUA
rnacentral:lncRNA from 1 species